rnacentral:rRNA from 1 species
CCUACGGGAGGCUGCAGUCGAGGAUCUUCGGCAAUGGGCGCAAGCCUGACCGAGCGACUCCGCGUGUGCGAUGAAGGCCUUCGGGUUGUAAAGCACUGUCGGGGGGGAGAUCGACCCCCGGAGGAAGCACGGGCUAAGUUCGUGCCAGCAGCCGCGGUAAGACGAACCGUGCGAACGUUGUUCGGAAUCACUGGGCUUAAAGGGCGCGUAGGCGGGUGGCCAAGUCAGAGGUGAAAUCCCACGGCUCAACCGUGGAAGUGCCCCUGAAACUGGUCAUCUCGAGGGAGGUAGGGGCGUGCGGAACUUCCGGUGGAGCGGUGAAAUGCGUAGAUAUCGGAAGGAACGCCGGUGGCGAAAGCGGCGCGCUGGCCCUUCUGACGCUGAGGCGCGAAAGCCAGGGGAGCAAACGGGAUUAGAUACCCUUGUAGUC